UAAACGUGCCGUACAUCAUUACGUGUUCAUAUUUACGGCAGCAGCUCCAUCCAUGUGGUUUUAAGAUCUGCGGUUUCUCGACGUCAGCUGCUGAAGAAGCGUAGCAGUCGCUAUGUACAUGUAAACAACAGCGAAUGAUAUGGUUUUUGACGCUUUGUUUUACAGCUAACACGAUGGCGCAGCCGGCGGAGGAAGAACCUGACGUGUCCCAAUGCGACGGUGAUCAACGGGACAGUGGACUGUGUGGAGGGACUUGGGAUGACCCCUCAGCAGUACAAUCUUCUCUAUGCCAUCUAUGCUUGGACGAAUGCAAUAGUGGUGAUCCUGGCUGGAUUCCUCAUUGAC